GCACUGCUGAAGCGUCCCAUACUAGGACGAAACGGCCGUCCGGUGC
rfam:Schistosoma haematobium scaffold1051_2, whole genome shotgun sequence.